GUGAGGGGGAAGGAGGGUAGGAGGGCUGGACCGAGGCGAGCAAAAAAACACGCCAAAACACUUUUAAAUGUCCGCCAUGUUGCCCAUGGCGUACUGAGCCGCCAACGCGGAGGGGAAGCGGAGCGCCGGGAAAACGCAGGCCGAGACACAGCGACCGACAUCCGGGCCUCCACCCCCACCACACCACACGGCGGCUCCGGGCUGGCGACGCCCUACCUUAGCGCUUGACAAGCUUACAAAAAAAAGAAAAAAAACGUCAGAGUUAGCCGCCCCAGAAUCAUCCAUGAAAGCUUCACUCGUCACCGCGGUGAAUAUUAGGAGCUCGGAUAGACACUAUUUGUGAGAGGGGGCACCUGGAAAAGAGCAAAAAUGAGUAAAUUGUCGUUUCGGGCGCGGGCGCUGGACGCCACCAAGCCGCUGCCCGUCUUCCGUUGCGAGGAUUUACCCGACCUGCACGAGUAUGCGUCCAUUAACAGGGCCGUGCCGCAGAUGCCAACGGGCAUGGAGAAAGAGGAGGAAUCGGAACAUCACCUCCAGCGGGCCAUCUCAGCACAGCAGGUCUACGGCGAGAAGCGAGACAACAUGGUCAUUCCGGUGCCGGAGGCGGAGAGCAACAUCACCUACUACGAAUCACUAUACCCCGGAGAUUACAAGAUGCCAAAGCAGCUCAUUCACCUACAGCCUUUCAGCCUGGACACGGAGCAGCCGGACUACGACCUGGACUCGGACGACGACGCCUUCGUGGCAAAGUUGAAAAAGAAGAUGGAGAUCAGCUUAUUGCAGUUUGAGGAGAUGAUCGACCGGCUGGAGAAAGGCAGCGGGCAGCAGCUGGUGAGUCUUCCUGAGGCCAAGCUGCUGCUCAAGGAGGACGAUGAGCUCAUCAAGGAGGUGUUUGACUACUGGAGCCGCAAGAGGAAAAACAGCAAGGCACACUCGCUCAUCAACAUCAUCAAGCAGGAGAAGCGCGACGGCUCCAGCACCAGCGACCCGUACGUGGCCUUCCGAAGGCGCACCGAGAAGAUGCAGACCAGAAAGAACCGCAAGAACGACGAGGCGUCCUAUGAGAAGAUGCUGAAACUCCGCAGGGAUCUGAGCCGGGCGGUCACCAUUCUGGAGAUGAUCAAAAGGAGGGAGAAGAGUAAGCGAGAGCUGCUGCACCUCACGCUGGAGAUCUUUGAGAAGAGGAAUGUCAUGUCGGACUACGGUGGUGAGGUCCUGGCUGAGGUCCUGGCAGAGCGGGCACUGGUUAGGCCGCAGAUCAUCCCGCUGGUGCCGCUUACCAACCAGUACCACAUGGACCACAAGGACUACAAAUCCAAGCCUGAGAAGAUGGAAGUCCCUCGGCAAAAGAGGAAAUAUGAGAAGAAACAGAAGGCUCUUCCGCUGUCAGCUGGCGCAGCGCAUCACCACGGUCCUGCAAUCUUUAACGCCAAGGACCUGAACCAGUACGACUUCCCUAGCUCAGAUGACGAGCCUCAGCUGCACUCGGGGUCGUCGGAAGCUGAGGAGGAGAAUGACCCGGAUGGCGCCUACGCUUUUCGAAGGAAAGCCGGCUGCCAGUAUUACGCUGCUCGUCAGGAUCGCAUGGGCGCCUGGCCGUGGUCACCGGCCGGGGAGGGCGGCCUGGCGCACGCCCGAUAUCGCUACAGUCUCACCACGCUCACCGUGCCGCGACGAUGCCAGGGCUUGGCCCGUCGACGUCUUGGACGAGGGGGCAGGGUCUUACUGGACCGAGCCCACUCGGACUAUGACAACGUUUUCCAUGAACUGGACCCGAAGACAUUAGAUUGCGCACCGCCCCCAUCGGGCUCGCGCUCGCCAGCCGCCAGCAAGUUUGUCAGUACCUCACCAACCAAUACCUCAGACAGAAGCAGCUCCUCGCCGCCCUCGGACCUCAGUCAGAUUCUUUUGAGCAUAAAGGCUUGCCGGUGGCGUCACUUCCGACCACGGACACUACCGCUGCACCAGCUGGACAACGCCCACCCGUUGUUCCGCAGAAUCAGUCGCUGUGUCAAGCGGCCGCUCACCAAUAUCGGGCCGUCAGCUCAGCGUGUCUUACGGCCUGGACCGCCGUCGCAGCCUCAUGUUGCCCUGACUGCCGAGCAGUUCCAGCAACACCAGGACCAGUUGGCGCAGAUGCAGAAGGAGCAGAUGGAGCAGCAGCUUCAAACCAACAGAGCCGCCACCGCCCACAGCACAACGACUACAACACAGGUGUCUGCCAACACGUUGGACCAGGCCAGUGCUCAGUUUGCCGCUUCUGCCCUAGUCUCCACCGAGCAAAUUCUGGCUCUGAAAACCAAGGAGGAGCUCAGCCUGGGUGGCAGUGUCAACGGCAUCCUAUCCCCCACAGGUGCCUACAAGGGCUUGCACCUCUCCAGCACAGCGUCUCCCUCACUGGCUGCCCCGGCACCGCCCGCCACCCUGUCCAGCGCCGCUUCCCUGCAUCCGGGCAGCGCCACCAGCGCCGCGCCAGCCUGCAGCACCAACAGCAACAACGGCACCGCCCACCACGCCGGUCCCGCAACCACUAAUGCCACUCAGGUUCCACUGGGCAACAGCCUCCGACUGGCCGUGCCCGCUGGCAAGCGGGUGCAUGCCCCCCGAACGCUAAGCAGCGCCAUGUCGGCGUCUGCUUUAAAGCUGGCGCACGCCGCCGCCAACUGUCAGAAGCCCAAGGUCCCCUCGGCCACCGCGGCCUCACCGCUGGACAUCGUGCCCAGGUGUGUUGCAGUUGGGAGACGCAUAACAUUCAGGAAACCGGCACCCAAGGACCAGGGUUGAAGAACAACCCUGGCCUAGGGCUUGGCAUCAUGGCCAUAAAAGAAAAGCAAAACUUGCCCAAAAGGGAGAACCACGAGCAGGACAAGGCGGCGCCACUCAGCAGUCUGUCUGAGAACACAAUGGCCAUGGAGGUGACGUAGCCUGCACACAGGGACCCCGUGUUUUUUUGGGGGGGGGGGGGUCGUUUUUAAAAGGUGCUAUGCAUCGUCCGUUAGGCUUGAACAAGAGCAGACUGACUGGACUUGACUGUGCGGUGAAUGCUCUGCAGAGCCACUUGUCCGGUGUGUUUGCGUGUGUAUUUAUGUGUAUGUGUAUAUAUAUACAUAUAUAUGUACAUGUGUGUGUAUAUAUAUAUAUAUAUACACACACGUACGUACACAUGUAUCUACAUAUAUGUGUAUGUAUACAUACACGUAUAUAAAACUCCACUGUAUUUGUUACUGUUAAGAGAUUGUCUGUAAAUUAAUUUGGCAAUUAAAUGUACAGUACUGAGUAUUUGUAGGCCCCGCCCACCCCAGCCCUCUUGUAUAUAACAUGAAUUGAAUACACAGUUGUUCAUUUGUGAUGUUUUGCACUCAAGUUGUUAGAAAAAAAAUUAGAGAGAAAGGACAAACCGCCGUUGCUGCGACCAGUCUCAACACUCUCACCUGCUUCCCACCCUCCCCUCGUCUAUUUAUUGUGCCGCGUUUUCGUCCAAUCCUCCGUUGCGACCGCUUGUUCUUCAACCAAACCCCCACCCGCCAUUUCACACGUCUUUUCUACAAUAAAUAUUUUUGUACUUAAUUUUUUUCUUAACUUGAUUUGUGAUUUGACUCUGCAAAAAGAUACGUUGGUUUUGUUUUUAUGCUUGGACGUGGCAGAAAAGGAUCAAUCAUUCCACUUCAAAAACUAAGAUAAAAAAAACACAAAUUUUGAAACUUAACAGGCAUUGUGGUCGUCAGUGUGCUGAUUUUCUCUUCUGUGAAGAGUUUGGUACCAAACUGGAGGCUUCAUAAUUUUUUUGGUGUGCGUGCGUACACGGCAGUGAGCGCCCCCUAGUGUGUGUGCUGGUGUGGACACGUCAGCGUCAUGCGGCAAAGAUGAAUGGAAGUACUCCUAAAAAGAAAAGGUGUCAAUGAAAUAAAAAUCCAGGGCAUUAUA